AGCGAACGCUGGCGGCAGGCCUAAUACAUGCAAGUCGAGCGGUCCCUUCGGGGGCAGCGGCGGACGGGUGAGUAACGCGUGGGAACGUGCCCUGAGGUACGGAAUAACUGCGGGAAACUGCAGCUAAUACCGUAUGAGCCCCUAACGGGGGAAAGAUUUAUCGCCUUGGGGAGCGGCCCGCGUCGGAUUAGCUAGUUGGUGGGGUAACGGCCUACCAAGGCUUCGAUCCGUAGCUGGUCUGAGAGGACGAUCAGCCACACUGGGACUGAGACACGGCCCAGACUCCUACGGGAGGCAGCAGUGGGGAAUCUUGCGCAAUGGGGGCAACCCUGACGCAGCCAUGCCGCGUGAAUGAUGAAGGCCUUAGGGUUGUAAAGUUCUUUUGCCCGUGACGAUGAUGACGGUAACGGGAGAAUAAGCUCCGGCUAACUUCGUG
rnacentral:rRNA from 1 species